UGUCUCUUCCUCUAAGUUUUUUGUUUCUUUAGCUUAAAUGAAAAUCAAGUGGCAGUUGGUCAAGUCAUUCUAUAAGUUGAAAUAAUCCUUACGGAAUUAGAUGAAAAGCUUUCAUCAUCCUUCUUGGAAGGUUUUGUUCAAAGUAAAAAAAUGACUACUCUUUAUAUGUUACGCAAAGUGGCUAUCGCGACGACACAUAUCCCAACGACAAAAGUCAGCGCUAAAAGGUGGGCUCUACGACGACAAGUUGUGGCCAAAACGUUUCACUACUUUGACCGGAUCUGUUUGACCUUAAAAGGUAUCCAGAAGACAAGUUAUCGGGACAACGUGGGCGGAAAAUACAAAAAUUUUUGUGGUCGUCUGAAACUCUAUGCCGACGACAAGUCGCCGGUAUGGGGUACGACAAAUUGAAUUUUUAUUUAUUUUUAUUUGAUUUUGUAGAAAACCGAAAUAAUAUAGUUUUCUGAAACUCUAUGCCGACGACAAGUCGUCGGUAUAGGGUAAGAAUCCAACAUGGCGAUCCGCGUGAAAAUUUUAAUUUCUUUUAAUAAAGACAAAAGAUAGAAAUGACGUCGUUAUUUGAACCCUAUACCAACGACGUAGUUAUCAGUGCAUCGUUCAUUGUUCAGUUGCAGUGAACGAUACACUCUUUCUCUCUCAGACUGACCGACGAUUUUGCACCAUCUUCACCGGCAAUGAGAUAUAGCCAUGAACCACCAUCCACCCUUCACAUGUUCACCACCGUCUUUCCUUCACCACCAUCGUCGACCACCUGGUUCCUUCUGGCUUAUCUUCUUCGCUACAACAGGUAAGGAUAAGGUUUUUUUUUUAUUAUUUUGGGGUUUUUUUCUUUUGUUUUAUUAUUUUGUGCUUUUCCGGUGCCCACCAGCCACCACCGAAGGACCAUCAUCAAAUCCGACCACCGGAAUCCGGCCAUCAUAUAAAGAACAUAACAAAUCUGUGAAAAAUAUUUAUAAAAAAAAUCUUAUACCGACGACAUGUCGUCGGUAUAAGUUUAUUUGUAAAAACUGUUUGAAACUUUUCCCGGCGACAUGUCAUCGGUAUAGAUUUAUAAUAAAACUGUUUUUUUUACCUCGAAAAUCUUUCCCGACGAUCCUUUGUAGACGACAAGUCGUCGACAGAGGUACAUUUGUACCGACGACAUCUAUACUGACGACAUUUUUGACUUAUACCGACGGAGCAAUACCGAUAACUUUGUAGGGUCAACAAGUCGUCGAUAUAGGUUUUACCGACGACAUGUCGUCUGCAUAGGUGUUGAAAAAGUCGUCGAUAUAGACCUCGUUCCGUGUAGUGAUUGGAAACUGUGCAAUGACAUUGAAGUUGUCAAACAAUUUUAAUAAAUCUUUUAUCAUAUAUUUAAGAAUUCUUACAUAUUUUUUUUGAAUUGAGAUUGUUGAAUCCUCAAGUGGAAUGUAUCUCUGUGAUAUCCCUUUAUUUUAAAAAAAUUUAAAAUAAAUAAAUAAAUAACUUUUCUUUACGUUUUGAAACUCACAAUAUAUUUGCUUGCGGAAAAUCUCAGUAAAAUAAAAUAUUUUGCGGAAAUUGUCUCAUUUUAUUAGCAUAUAUUGAGUAAAGAUGUUGUUUCAAAAUACAAAAGCCUAAAGAUGUCAUAAUCAAUACACAUCUUAUGUCACAACAUAAAUACCUAAUGGUCCUUAAAACUAUUGCAGAGUGUCUCUUAAUCACACAACAUCCCCAAUAAAGUUCCAACACCUUUAGCACUGUUACCUGUGAUGUAUAUAAUUUGAGCGGGUCAGGUUGGGAAACUUGGUAAGACACAUAGGGUUUUCACUCCCAUAAUAUUAUUAUGAUAGUAAUAAUUAUCAAACCUACAAAACCAACUAUUACCAAACAAUAUAGAUAUAUCUGAUAACUUAAAUACUUGUACAACAUUAUCCCCAUACAUACCCAUCCCAACUGAUUAUCAUAAAUCCUUGUACACAAUUAUUAGCAUGAAUCAACUCAUCUGAUGAAUCAUUUAGAGCAAUGGUUUGACUACACAACCAGGGGCUUCCUUGGUGGGUGUAAGUCAUUAAGGCAAUUCAAGCCAUCAUAAUAUUUGAUGAAUAUGGUAUCCUAUUUCAUCUACAUCUGUGGAUUUUAAGUCCACACUAGCAACGUAAUACACAAGAAUGUCUAGAAUGAUCAAGUGUUGUCAUCUUACUCUGGUAGAUGACUAGACAUAUCGUUUCAGUUGCCUGAUUGGACCCACCAUAUAUGGUUGUCUAAAGGAAUACAAUAUCAUACUCUGGUACGUAAUUCGUACAUCAACACCUGAUAGUAUCACAUCAUAGAGUUGUACUCUUCAUUCCUAUCAUAUACAUCCUUAAUAUGAUGCUACCUAAUAUCUAAACAUAAUUGAACUAAGCAUCCUUUAUAAGUCUUAUCUCAUUUUUAGGAAAUACUAUAAUAGUUUUAAUCAACUUAGAAAAUCAUUUUCGUGUUUAUACCAUAUUAUCACAAUACAUUUUAAGACUAUAUGUUUAUCCAACUUAACUGUAACUAAUCAUCCUUUAUAUGUCUUAGUUAAAAAGUUGACUACACUAUAAUAUACAUAGUCAACUUUCAAUACGUAUUCCAUGUUAGUGUAAUAUUAUUAUAAUACAAGGUAUGACUACGUACUAAUCCAACAUACUUUGUACUAAUUGUCAUUUAUAAGUCUUACUUUAUUACUAGA